UACGUAGGGGCCGAGCGUUGUCCGGAGUUAUUGGGCGUAAAGGGCGCGUAGGCGGCUUGGCAAGUGGAUGGUGAAAUCCCUCGGCUUAACCGAGGAACUGCCGUCCAAACUGCUUCGCUUGAGACCGGGAGAGGUGAGUGGAAUUCCCAGUGUAGCGGUGAAAUGCGUAGAUAUUGGGAGGAACACCAGUGGCGAAGGCGGCUCACUGGACCGGUACUGACGCUGAUGCGCGAAAGCGUGGGGAGCAAACGGG
rnacentral:rRNA from 1 species